UACGGAGGGUGCAAGCGUUGCUCGGAAUCACUGGGCGUAAAGGGCGUGUAGGCGGGAAGGAAAGUCAGAUGUGAAAUCCCCAGGCUUAACCUGGGAACUGCAUCCGAUACUGGAUGGCUUGAAUCCGGGAGAGGGAUGCGGAAUUCCAGGUGUAGCGGUGAAAUGCGUAGAUAUCUGGAGGAACACCGGUGGCGAAGGCGGCAUCCUGGACCGGCAUUGACGCUGAGGAGCGAAAGCCAGGGGAGCAAACGGG
rnacentral:rRNA from 1 species